GUUGUACUCCUUCCGUUCCGAAUUACUUGUCUUGGAUUUGUCUAGAUACAUCCGUAUCUAGGUUCAUUUUAGUGCUAGAUACAUCCGUAUCUAGACAAAUCUAAGACAAGUAAUUCAGAACGAAGGGAGUAGUUG
rfam:Triticum aestivum genome assembly, contig: Triticum_aestivum_CS42_TGACv1_scaffold_249055_3DL